rnacentral:rRNA from 1 species
UGGCGACCGGCGCACGGGUGAGUAAUACGUAUCCAACCUGCCGAUGACUCGGGGAUAGCCUUUCGAAAGAAAGAUUAAUACCCGAUGGCAUAGUUCUUCCGCAUGGUAGAACUAUUAAAGAAUUUCGGUCAUCGAUGGGGAUGCGUUCCAUUAGGUUGUUGGCGGGGUAACGGCCCACCAAGCCUUCGAUGGAUAGGGGUUCUGAGAGGAAGGUCCCCCCACAUUGGAACUGAGACACGGUCCAAACUCCUACGGGAGGCAGCAUG